AUUGAACGCUGGCGGCAUGCCUAACACAUGCAAGUCGAGCGGAAGAAGGGAGCUUGCUCCUGGGGUCAGCGGCGGACGGGUGAGUAAUGCCUAGGAAUCUGCCUGGUAGUGGGGGAUAACGUCCGGAAACGGGCGCUAAUACCGCAUACGUCCUGAGGGGGAAAGUGGGGGAUCUUCGGACCUCACGCUAUCAGAUGAGCCUAGGUCGGAUUAGCUAGUUGGUGGGGUAAAGGCCUACCAAGGCGACGAUCCGUAACUGGUCUGAGAGGAUGAUCAGUCACACUGGAACUGAGACACGGUCCAGACUCCUACGGGAGGCAGCAGUGGGGAAUUUUGGACAAUGGGCGAAAGCCUGAUCCAGCCAUGCCGCGUGUGUGAAGAAGGUCUUCGGAUUGUAAAGCACUUUAAGUUGGGAGGAAGGGCAGUAAGUUAAUACCUUGCUGUUUUGACGUUACCAACAGAAUAAGCACCGGCUAACUUCGUG
rnacentral:rRNA from 1 species